CAUGCACAAUCUUGGAUAAUAUGC
rnacentral:siRNA from 1 species